rnacentral:rRNA from 1 species
AGCGGCGAACGGGUGAGUAACACGUGGGUGAUCUGCCCUGCACUUCGGGAUAAGCCUGGGAAACUGGGUCUAAUACCGGAUAUGACCUCCUAUCGCAUGGUGGGUGGUGGAAAGAUUUAUCGGUGCAGGAUGGGCCCGCGGCCUAUCAGCUUGUUGGUGGGGUAAUGGCCUACCAAGGCGACGACGGGUAGCCGACCUGAGAGGGUGACCGGCCACACUGGGACUGAGACACGGCCCAGACUCCUACGGGAGGCAGCAGUGGGGAAUAUUGCACAAUGGGCGAAAGCCUGAUGCAGCGACGCCGCGUGAGGGACGACGGCCUUCGGGUUGUAAACCUCUUUCAGCAGGGACGAAGCGCAAGUGACGGUACCUGCAGAAGAAGCACCGGCUAACUACGUGCCAGCAGCCGCGGUAAUACGUAGGGUGCAAGCGUUGUCCGGAAUUACUGGGCGUAAAGAGUUCGUAGGCGGUUUGUCACGUCGUUUGUGAAAACUCACAGCUCAACUGUGAGCCUGCAGGCGAUACGGGCAGACUUGAGUACUGCAGGGGAGACUGGAAUUCCUGGUGUAGCGGUGAANNGCGCAGAUAUCAGGAGGAACACCGGUGGCGAANGCGGGUCUCUGGGCAGUAACUGACGCUGAGGAACGAAAGCGUGGGUAGCGAACAGGAUUANAUACCCUGGUAGUCCACGCCGUAAACGGUGGGCGCUAGGUGUGGGUUCCUUCCACGGAAUCCGUGCCGUAGCUAACGCAUUAAGCGCCCCGCCUGGGGAGUACNGCCGCANGCUAAACUCAAAGGAAUUGACGGGGCCGCACAAGCGGCGGAGCAUGUGGAUUAAUUCGAUGC